rnacentral:lncRNA from 1 species
GUUUUUGAUGAAUCUGAUAUUCAUGAUACACCUACUGGACCCUGCAAUAAAGAGUCUCAAACUUUUUUUGCAAGAUUGAAAAGGAUAGGCGGCAGCAGGAUGGUCAAAGGCCAGCCAGUUGGGAUGUCUGUGCAGAGAAGUGAAAUAGAGCUGUCCGAAUAUAGAGAAACGGGUGCGUUGCAAGACAGCGUUCUGCACUGUGUGAGAGAAGAAAGCAUUCAGAAAAAAAAGCUACGCUCUUUAAAACAAAAA